GUUUAAGAACUUGCGUGGGUUUCCGCGUUGUAUUCGUUUCCGUGUAUCAGUGUGUUUGCAUGGGGCUUUUCUGAUAUUUUCUUGUAUGAUACGCUCCUACGACAGGGAAAAUUGUCUUCACAACAACACACACAGCUUCCACAACAUCAUCGACGUCCUACCAAAGCUCUCAGAGGACCACAACAAUGGAGGAAACACCUCUGGCAACAUCCCUUACGGCUAGAAUUACAGCUUCAACCACAACUGAGAAAGAAAAUCUGACCACAGUAUCCUCAUAUACCCCUAGCAGCAUUUCAAGCAAUGGUCAGCAUGAAUUAAAAGAAACAAACGCACUAACACAUAUAGAUUGUCUUUAUCCAGGUUUAACUCAGCUAAUACUGUAGUCUAACCUGAUAGCUGAAAACCGGCGUCAUAGUCCAAAACAAUGCGAUUGUUGUUUUUUUCAAGUGGAAUCUAGACUGGGUGGUCAUUUUAUCGGGUUCACCUACCAUAUGUUACUUUGUAUAAAUAUAAAUGCAUACAACAUUUAUAUAUGUGAACAAACACCACCAAAGCACCAAAACUCAUCAGAUAUUAUAUUACAUAUAAUAUUAUAUUAUAUUAUAUUGGGUGUUGGAUCCUUCUCAUUAUGGCAGUGGCACUAUACAAGUUUCAGCAUCAUUAUAUAAAGUUGUUUUUUUGCAACAAAAAAAAUAUAAUUAACAACAAUUAACAUGAGUCGUAGUUGUAAAACCGAGUCCAUGGGGAAUCCAGGAGCUCCCACAAAUCUACGGUCCAAACUAUUUUGGAUUAGUUUACUCUCACUUUUGAACUCACCUAUUUCCUGAUAACUCUCAUUUUCAUCCGUGUAUUUAUACCAGUUUAUUCACUACUUAUCAUUGCGAGGUUUUUCCAUGACAGUGUACAUUUCUGUUUUGUUUUGUUAUUCCUGGUUUUUUCCAGGAGGCAGAGCGUAUACUUCGCGGUAAGCGUGUGAACUAGGAGUCAGUCCCUGCAUCCCAGUUGGCACACUUAUACUAUGUACUAAAAGUAUGUGCUCUUUUUGUGAAGAAAAAUCACAUACUUUUGAGUGUGUGGUAAAAGAGUAUGGAAGUACUGGUACAUACUAACAGGAAGAAAUGUAACGGAAGAAAACCUUGUUGCCUGGAAGAGAGCGCUGUCACACUCCUUGCCGCAUUUCAGCUUUUCUACAUUCGUUAUUCCUUAUAUAAUUUAUACUAUAUAAUUGAAUUAACUAAAUCCCUUGAUUUAUUUUUCCACAUUUCAUUUAAACUUCACAAAACUCAUCAACUCUCGCAUAAGGAGUUCUGGGUAGUAUUAGUUUGAAAAGUGUCCAUGGAGCCACACUUUGAAAAUCUAUCGGAAAUAGUAGACCAUCCAGGUACCUUUGGGAUACUCCUUUCUACAUACUACGAUUUGGGACACACUAAUUCUCAUCUUGGAUACUAUUUAGUAUGUAUAGUAGGCGAUUUGGGAUGCAAGGUUUAUGUUCUGUGAUUUGUUUGACUGGAUUCAGGUGUGUGUAAUCAGAAUGACGAGUUCAUGAGUGCUGGGUAUUGUAGUUUGCAGCAGCCAUGUUUGUAGCCAUAGUGUUCUCUGGGAGUUGUAGUGUCAUGCCAGUUAUGGUGUUGAUGUGACACUUCUGCAUUUCCCUUUCAUUUUGAUUGGCAUGCACUGCUCUGCAUGAAGUUCAACCCUUGCCCUAGUAUCAAUAGUUGGUCUACUGAAUUGCAUUGAGUGCUACCAGCAUCCACCUUGUGACAAAUUCCUGUGAGGGUCUGCUACCCGCUGUGCCACCAGAUUAUUAUUAGUAGUAGUAGAAGUAAUAGUAGUAGUAAUGGUUAUUAUUAUUAAUAAUAAUAAUAAUUAUCAUUAGUAGUAGUAGUAGAAGUAAUAGUAGUAGUAGUGGUUAUUAUUAUUAUUAUUAUUAUUAUUAUUUUGAUUAUUAUUAUUAUAGUCACAGAUAUUAUCGUGACAACUUUAUUGCCUUGACAUUUUGGUUUUAUUUCCAUUAAUAUUUCUUUUUAAUUGUUGCUCUACUGAAUUUCAUUUGUAUUAACAAAUCAACCAGACUGUAUUUCAGUUGUACUGUGCUUGUUUAAUGUAUGCGUGUUUUAAUUGCCUGCUGGUGUCUUUUGAGUGCACCGUAUCAAAUUCCUGUUUUAGGAAUUGCCUGAUCCACUUGAACCAGCACAACACACACUAACAUGUCAGUGUCUCUGACGUGGCAAAAAUGAGCCAACAACCAAACAAUAUAUGAUCAGUGGUGCACCUAAAGGUGUUUCUACGGAUGGCCAGAGAAGAGUGGGGCCGGCAUACUGCACAGCAAUAGAUGGUGUACGGGCAGAAAUCGUAGACACAUUCAAGACAUAGCCAAAAUAGUUUCCUAUGCUCAUUAAACAUGUUCGAUCUGUGCAGGGUGCACUCAUUGACCCCAGGAAAUCGAGAAAUAGUGAUCUUAAGUGUUGUAUGUAAUUACUUCAAGGGAUAGUGCUAACCUUCCUUACAGGUAUUUUUAAGAUGAACAAUGACUGAGGAAGAACAACUGAUAGUCAG
ensembl:lncRNA